AUACGGAGGGUCCAAGCGUUAUCCGGAAUCAUUGGGUUUAAAGGGUCCGCAGGCGGUCAAUUAAGUCAGAGGUGAAAGCCCAUCGCUCAACGAUGGAACUGCCUUUGAUACUGGUUGACUUGAGUUAUACGGAAGUAGAUAGAAUAAGUAGUGUAGCGGUGAAAUGCAUAGAUAGUACUUAGAAUACCGAUUGCGAAGGCAGUCUACUACGUAUAUACUGACGCUGAGGGACGAAAGCGUGGGGAGCGAACAGGAUUAGAAACCCGAGUAGUCC
rnacentral:rRNA from 1 species